rnacentral:rRNA from 1 species
UGGGGGAAUAUUCACAAUGGGCGCAAGCCUGAUGCAGCCAUGCCGCGUGUGUGAAGAAGGCCUUCGGGUUGUAAAGCACUUUCAGCGAGGAGGAAGGUGGUGAACUUAAUACGUUCAUCAAUUGACGUUACUCGCAGAAGAAGCACCGGCUAACUCCGUGCCAGCAGCCGCGGUAAUACGGAGGGUGCAAGCGUUAAUCGGAAUUACUGGGCGUAAAGCGCACGCAGGCGGUUUGUUAAGUCAGAUGUGAAAUCCCCGGGCUCAACCUGGGAACUGCAUUUGAAACUGGCAAGCUAGAGUCUCGUAGAGGGGGGUAGAAUUCCAGGUGUAGCGGUGAAAUGCGUAGAGAUCUGGAGGAAUACCGGUGGCGAAGGCGGCCCCCUGGA